rnacentral:rRNA from 1 species
UUAAGCGACUAAGCGUACACGGUGGAUGCCCUGGCAGUCAGAGGCGAUGAAGGACGUGCUAAUCUGCGAUAAGCGUCGGUAAGGUGAUAUGAACCGUUAUAACCGGCGAUUUCCGAAUGGGGAAACCCAGUGUGUUUCGACACACUAUCAUUAACUGAAUCCAUAGGUUAAUGAGGCGAACCGGGGGAACUGAAACAUCUAAGUACCCCGAGGAAAAGAAAUCAACCGAGAUUCCCCCAGUAGCGGCGAGCGAACGGGGAGCAGCCCAGAGCCUGAAUCAGUGUGUGUGUUAGUGGAAGCGUCUGGAAAGGCGCGCGAUACAGGGUGACAGCCCCGUACACAAAAAUGCACAUAUUGUGAGCUCGAUGAGUAGGGCGGGACACGUGGUAUCCUGUCUGAAUAUGGGGGGACCAUCCUCCAAGGCUAAAUACUCCUGACUGACCGAUAGUGAACCAGUACCGUGAGGGAAAGGCGAAAAGAACCCCGGCGAGGGGAGUGAAAAAGAACCUGAAACCGUGUACGUACAAGCAGUGGGAGCACGCUUAGGCGUGUGACUGCGUACCUUUUGUAUAAUGGGUCAGCGACUUAUAUUCUGUAGCAAGGUUAACCGAAUAGGGGAGCCGAAGGGAAACCGAGUCUUAACUGGGCGUUAAGUUGCAGGGUAUAGACCCGAAACCCGGUGAUCUAGCCAUGGGCAGGUUGAAGGUUGGGUAACACUAACUGGAGGACCGAACCGACUAAUGUUGAAAAAUUAGCGGAUGACUUGUGGCUGGGGGUGAAAGGCCAAUCAAACCGGGAGAUAGCUGGUUCUCCCCGAAAGCUAUUUAGGUAGCGCCUCGUGAAUUCAUCUCCGGGGGUAGAGCACUGUUUCGGCAAGGGGGUCAUCCCGACUUACCAACCCGAUGCAAACUGCGAAUACCGGAGAAUGUUAUCACGGGAGACACACGGCGGGUGCUAACGUCCGUCGUGAAGAGGGAAACAACCCAGACCGCCAGCUAAGGUCCCAAAGUCAUGGUUAAGUGGGAAACGAUGUGGGAAGGCCCAGACAGCCAGGAUGUUGGCUUAGAAGCAGCCAUCAUUUAAAGAAAGCGUAAUAGCUCACUGGUCGAGUCGGCCUGCGCGGAAGAUGUAACGGGGCUAAACCAUGCACCGAAGCUGCGGCAGCGACGCUUAUGCGUUGUUGGGUAGGGGAGCGUUCUGUAAGCCUGUGAAGGUGUGCUGUGAGGCAUGCUGGAGGUAUCAGAAGUGCGAAUGCUGACAUAAGUAACGAUAAAGCGGGUGAAAAGCCCGCUCGCCGGAAGACCAAGGGUUCCUGUCCAACGUUAAUCGGGGCAGGGUGAGUCGACCCCUAAGGCGAGGCCGAAAGGCGUAGUCGAUGGGAAACAGGUUAAUAUUCCUGUACUUGGUGUUACUGCGAAGGGGGGACGGAGAAGGCUAUGUUGGCCGGGCGACGGUUGUCCCGGUUUAAGCGUGUAGGCUGGUUUUCCAGGCAAAUCCGGAAAAUCAAGGCUGAGGCGUGAUGACGAGGCACUACGGUGCUGAAGCAACAAAUGCCCUGCUUCCAGGAAAAGCCUCUAAGCAUCAGGUAACAUCAAAUCGUACCCCAAACCGACACAGGUGGUCAGGUAGAGAAUACCAAGGCGCUUGAGAGAACUCGGGUGAAGGAACUAGGCAAAAUGGUGCCGUAACUUCGGGAGAAGGCACGCUGAUAUGUAGGUGAAGUCCCUUGCGGAUGGAGCUGAAAUCAGUCGAAGAUACCAGCUGGCUGCAACUGUUUAUUAAAAACACAGCACUGUGCAAACACGAAAGUGGACGUAUACGGUGUGACGCCUGCCCGGUGCCGGAAGGUUAAUUGAUGGGGUCAGCGCAAGCGAAGCUCUUGAUCGAAGCCCCGGUAAACGGCGGCCGUAACUAUAACGGUCCUAAGGUAGCGAAAUUCCUUGUCGGGUAAGUUCCGACCUGCACGAAUGGCGUAAUGAUGGCCAGGCUGUCUCCACCCGAGACUCAGUGAAAUUGAACUCGCUGUGAAGAUGCAGUGUACCCGCGGCAAGACGGAAAGACCCCGUGAACCUUUACUAUAGCUUGACACUGAACAUUGAGCCUUGAUGUGUAGGAUAGGUGGGAGGCUUAGAAGUGUGGACGCCAGUCUGCAUGGAGCCGGCCUUGAAAUACCACCCUUUAAUGUUUGAUGUUCUAACGUUGACCCGUAAUCCGGGUUGCGGACAGUGUCUGGUGGGUAGUUUGACUGGGGCGGUCUCCUCCUAAAGAGUAACGGAGGAGCACGAAGGUUGGCUAAUCCUGGUCGGACAUCAGGAGGUUAGUGCAAUGGCAUAAGCCAGCUUGACUGCGAGCGUGACGGCGCGAGCAGGUGCGAAAGCAGGUCAUAGUGAUCCGGUGGUUCUGAAUGGAAGGGCCAUCGCUCAACGGAUAAAAGGUACUCCGGGGAUAACAGGCUGAUACCGCCCAAGAGUUCAUAUCGACGGCGGUGUUUGGCACCUCGAUGUCGGCUCAUCACAUCCUGGGGCUGAAGUAGGUCCCAAGGGUAUGGCUGUUCGCCAUUUAAAGUGGUACGCGAGCUGGGUUUAGAACGUCGUGAGACAGUUCGGUCCCUAUCUGCCGUGGGCGCUGGAGAACUGAGGGGGGCUGCUCCUAGUACGAGAGGACCGGAGUGGACGCAUCACUGGUGUUCGGGUUGUCAUGCCAAUGGCACUGCCCGGUAGCUAAAUGCGGAAGAGAUAAGUGCUGAAAGCAUCUAAGCACGAAACUUGCCCCGAGAUGAGUUCUCCCUGACUCCUUGAGAGUCCUGAAGGAACGUUGAAGACGACGACGUUGAUAGGCCGGGUGUGUAAGCGCAGCGAUGCGUUGAGCUAACCGGUACUAAUGAACCGUGAGGCUUAACCUU